rnacentral:rRNA from 1 species
AAUCAACGCUGGCGGCGUGCCUCAGACAUGCAAGUCGAACGAUUAAAGCUCUCUUCGGAGAGUGCAUAGAGUGGCGCACGGGUGAGUAACACGUAAGUAAUCUACCCUCGAGUGGGGAAUAACGUCCGGAAACGGGCGCUAAUACCGCAUAAUGCAGCGGCAUCAUAAGAUGACAGUUGUUAAAGAUUUAUCGCUUGAGGAGGAGCUUGCGGCAGAUUAGCUAGUUGGUAAGGUAACGGCUUACCUAGGCUACGAUCUGUAACCGGUCUUAGAGGACGGUCGGUCACACUGACACUGAAUAACGGGUCAGACUCCUACGGGAGGCAGCAGUCGGGAAUUUUGGGCAAUGGGCGAAAGCCUGACCCAGCAACGCCGCGUGAAGGAUGAAGUAUUUCGGUAUGUAAACUUCGAAAGAAUAGGAAGAAUUAAUGACGGUACUAUUUAUAAGGUCCGGCUAACUACGUGCCAGCAGCCGCGGUAAGAC